rnacentral:rRNA from 1 species
AUUGAACGCUGGCGGCAGGCCUAACACAUGCAAGUCGAGCGGAUGAAGGGAGCUUGCUCCUGGAUUCAGCGGCGGACGGGUGAGUAAUGCCUAGGAAUCUGCCUGGUAGUGGGGGAUAACGUCCGGAAACGGGCGCUAAUACCGCAUACGUCCUGAGGGAGAAAGUGGGGGAUCUUCGGACCUCACGCUAUCAGAUGAGCCUAGGUCGGAUUAGCUAGUUGGUGGGGUAAAGGCCUACCAAGGCGACGAUCCGUAACUGGUCUGAGAGGAUGAUCAGUCACACUGGAACUGAGACACGGUCCAGACUCCUACGGGAGGCAGCAGUGGGGAAUAUUGGACAAUAGGCGAAAGCCUGAUCCAGCCAUGCCGCGUGUGUGAAGAAGGUCUUCGGAUUGUAAAGCACUUUAAGUUGGGAGGAAGGGCAGUAAGUUAAUACCUUGCUGUUUUGACGUUACCUACAGAAUAAGCACCGGCUAACUUCGUG